UGGGUGGAUGAGUGGCGAACGGGUGAGUAACACGUGAGUAACCUGCCCCCUUCUUUGGGAUAACGCCCGGAAACGGGUGCUAAUACUGGAUAUUCACUUGCCUUCGCAUGGGGGUUGGUGGAAAGGGUUUUUUCUGGUGGGGGAUGGGCUCGCGGCCUAUCAGCUUGUUGGUGGGGUGAUGGCCUACCAAGGCUUUGACGGGUAGCCGGCCUGAGAGGGUGACCGGUCACAUUGGGACUGAGAUACGGCCCAG
rnacentral:rRNA from 1 species